UUUAAGCGUAGUCAUGAGUUUUUAUGUCCAACUUUGAUCGUCUAUCUUAUUUGAAUUUUUUAUAAUUAAUAUUUUUAUUGUUAUUAGAUGAUAAAAUAUGAAUAGUACUUUAUGCGUGACUUAUGUUUUUAAUUUUUUUUUAAAAAAAUUCAAAUAAAACAAAUGAUUAAUGUUGGCCACAGAAACUCAUGAGCUGCGUUUAAA
rfam:Oryza sativa Japonica Group DNA, chromosome 6, cultivar: Nipponbare, complete sequence.